GAGUUGUUCUUUGCAUUUCUAGCAAUGUAGUCAAACUCAAGAUAUGAAAUUAUUUGGAGAUUUAAUUGUCAAGAUGAAUUUCCCCAACAAGGAUCCUACAACGACUUUUUCUCAGUUGACUGAGGACACGGACCUUUUGGCCGUUCUUGGUGACUUGCUUGAUACAGACGAUGUAGACAGACUUACAGCUCAGCAAACACUACAGCAAGCGUACUUCUGCAAGUGUGUUUGACUUCAAACACUGCCUCGACUCUGGAGUUUUGAACAUUUUAUUGUUAUUGUAUAGACAAACUGUUUGCACAAACUUGAACUCUGAAAAACCAGGAAAUGAAGUCAUCAAUAUCAUCACUGGUGAGGACAUGGAAAGUACCCCACGCCAGAUGUAAUUUCGUAUAAAUUUUACGAGUGGUAUAUUUUCCAAAACUGCACGGGCUUUGAGUCGAGUGCUGUUUGAGAUAAUUAGCUUAGUGACACGUGAUAAAUACAGGAUACUAACAUGACCGAGCGGGGCCCGGGUUCGGGGUUACGAAUGUUAUCUUCACAUGCUGAUGGUGUGAGCAACAGAUACCAUCGAUACGAGAAGAUAAAAUUCGUAUCUCCAAGUGGCCAUGCAAUGUUCUGUUUAUUAUAUGGUUAUUGAUGAAACAUCAAGAUCCAAGUCUCAGUUAUUCUAUUCACCAAGGUCUGGACUGUAAUCGAAAAUGUUUAAAUUUACACAAUUAACCAUUUUAACGAAACCCAAAGAUAAAGUACGUUUUCGUCUUAAUAAAAAAGUCAAAUUCAACUUCAGUGAUGUUGAAAGAUAGAUCAUACAUUUUCCGUAACCAUGACGACAUCGAUAUCCUCACGUGUGAAAGAUAAAAAUAGUAUCUUCACUACGCACGACAAGGAAAUUAAAUUUCAUAACCAAGAAAAAUCCCAGUAUUAAAUCAAUACCUGUGUAACGAGAUGUGUAAGUAAGUAAACGUGAUAGUAAGCAACAGAAGUAACGUGCCGAUGAUUAAGUGUUGUAUGCCAUUACAGCGGCUGAAACAAAUGUGUGUGUAUUUAAACUGUGUACAUGAAAUCCAGCUACUGAGAUUUCCGAUACAAGUACUUUAUGGCAUUAAAAAAAAAAAAAAAAAAAACAUUUCUGCUA